rnacentral:rRNA from 1 species
UACGGGGGGUGCGAGCGUUGUCCGGAAUCACUGGGCGUAAAGAGCGCGUAGGCGGUCCGGUAAGUCGGUUGUGAAAGUCGGGGGCUCAACCCUCGGAUGCCGAUCGAUACUGUCGGGCUAGAGUCCGGAAGAGGCGAGUGGAAUUCCUGGUGUAGCGGUGAAAUGCGCAGAUAUCAGGAGGAACACCAAUGGCGAAGGCAGCUCGCUGGGACGGUACUGACGCUGAGGCGCGAAAGCGUGGGGAGCGAACAGG